AUGAGGGAGGCGGAAACUCAGCUGCCUGAGGCGGGCGGCCCUUUGCCUCCUUCGGUGGCCGGCUCUUCACCGCCGCCGCCCCUUGCCCUGAUGGGUAGCGGCCCUUUGCCGAUGCCGGUGGCCGGAUCUACGCCGCCGCCGCCGCCGCCCCAUGCCUCGACGGGGGUGUUGCUGGGUGGAUCGCUACAUCCGAUUGCCUUGAUGGCGUCGGAACGAAAGGAGGGGGCGUCGGGAUCGCGAGCCAAACGAGAUCCCUCGGCGCUGAAAGCGAUCGGCCAGGGCCAAGGGAGAUUCACGCAAUGGCGUGUUCACUUCCUGGCCGAGACGGAUCCUGGCAAUUGGAUCGAAGGCCUCGUCCGUCUCUCCCAUCAUUCGCGCUGGAUGGCUUUAUUCGAUUUGGAGAAUGAUGUCCUAGCCGGCGACUACUUGCCGGCGGUGACUCGAUCGAGGUAA
rnacentral:rRNA from 1 species